GACGAACGCUGGCGGCGUGCCUAAUACAUGCAAGUUGAGCGCUGAAGGGUGGUGCUUGUCCCUACUGGAUGAGCAGCGAACGGGUGAGUAACGCGUGGGUAAUCUGCCUUGGAGCGGGGGACAACUUUUGGAAACGAAUGCUAAUACCGCAUAAAAACUUUAAACACAAGAUUUAAGUUUGAAAGAUGCAAUUGCAUCACUCAAAGAUGAUCCCGCGUUGUAUUAGCUAGUUGGUGAGGUAAAGGCUCACCAAGGCGAGGAUACAUAGCCGACCUGAGAGGGUGAUCGGCCACAAUGGGACUGAGACACGGCCCAAACUCCUACGGGAGGCAGCAGUAGGGAAUCUUCGGCAAUGGGGGGAAGUCUGACCGAGCAACGCCGCGUGAGUGAAGAAGGUUUUCGGAUCGUAAAACUCUGUUGGUAGAGAAGAACGUUGGUGAGAGUGGAAAGCUCAUAAAGUGACGGUAACUAACCAGAAAGGGACGGCUAACUACGUG
rnacentral:rRNA from 1 species